GGACUGGCUCUAGCUCAGCCCUUCCCUUGACAAAGUAUCAGCUUUCAACUGCCCCCUGCAGAAGUGGUUUGAGACCCACAGGCACUCCCCAUUCCUUAG
rnacentral:vault_RNA from 1 species